GGGCCGUCUGGCUGCAGGGCAUUGCCUCCCAUUCCUUGUGCCCAGUGCCACAUCUUUCCACCGCGCCCCAUCCAGCAGCCGCGCCGUCCCUAGUCGCUGGCCUUCUUCGGUUUGACCCCCUCAGUCCUCGUCGCUCGUCGGUGGAGGUAAUUAGCCAACUCCCGUGUUAAUUACUUUCUCAGGCAGCAAUUCGAAGAUGAAACCCUCACACAUGGUUUCUUCAGUAGGGAGAAGCAUGGCAGGUCAAGGAUGAGGACGGUGAUGAACCACGCGAACACCAGGCGCAGGCGGUUCAAUGUAAGCAGCAGCCUCUCCAUUGCAAAUUAUUUGAUGAUUUGGUGCAACGCCAUUACAUUAUAUGGUCAGUGGAAAACCAAAUGGGAUUGUGGUCAGUAGCAUAACUGAUGUAGUGAUGUAGUAUAUGGCUAGCUAAUUAACAGUCCAAGAGUAACCGAGUACAGUGUAGUUGGACAUUUUCAUGGCUUGGGUUCAUCGGCUGGCCCAGAAACAGAGCAGAUUGCCUACCAGUCAUUGUUAGACUUGGCAAAUUUACUCACUGAUUCCAGUUCUUGUCCAGUUAUUAACUUUUUCUCACAAAGCUCAUUUUGCCUAUCAAACCAUGGGCCAUCAUCUGAGUUCCUCCUCCUGCUCACCAUUCCCAACACAAGCAUAUGCCCUGCUGUUAUUAACAUCUGACUUGUAGUAUAGUUUUCCGAAGUUCAGAAAAAUAUUUUUGUUCUGGUGAGGCAUUGCACUGUUACUGUAGCUGCAGUCAGUGUGAUUGUGAUGAUUCCCCACAAAAAAUAAGAAAUGUGAUUGUGAUGAUGCUUUCAUCCCUAGCACACAGUUUUGUAAGCCCCAAACCUUGAAUAUUUAGAUUGAAAUUAUAGAAAAACCAUCUAGCUGCCAACAGAACAAAAAAAAUGCUUCCUUUCUUUACAUUUAGCAAAUUCCUAUUUAUAUAGCCUUUAAAAAUUUCUGAGUACGACUGGUUGAACAAUUGAAUGCCAUAUUUUCCAUCUUCUGAGGAAACCGAGCAAUCUUUUUAGACACAGGAACUUCAUAGACAUCACUACCUCCUCUGCCCUCUGGUCACCAUUGUAUACCAAAUAUCUCAUUGUGCAGAUUUUUUUUUUCUUCAAAAAACUCUGAAUUUCAGCAGUCCCCACAAAACAGCCAUUUUUCUGAAACAGAAGUUCUACUAUUGCAGAAGUGUGUGUAAAGUACAUUUUUUCCCCUCUUCUCAAAAGAAGAAAUUUUGUUAUAUCUGAAUGAUGGCCACUCCAUAUGAAACUGGAGUACUACAUAGGAUCUCUGAAGCAACAAAGAGAGCUUAGAGAUCAAUAAAGGAACUUCCUGCCUUCCCAAACCUAGUGGAUCAUUGUAAGGACAAAAUUUUAAACAUGCUAUUAAUUUUAAGUACAAUAACUAGAAACAGAUUUCCAUUGGAAGAAACUGGACAGAACAAUGAAAUUUAGUUAUUCAUAUGUUGCAGAGGCUCAGAGGCUGCUUGGAAUCUGCUCAAGACCUGGAUGUAUUUACUAACCAAAAUGUCUUAUUCACCAUGGCUCUGAUUCCUGUUCAACAGAGAAGGAUGGCCAGAGCCUCACUAUCUUGGGCUCUCUGGUCAAUAUCUAAAGAAUGCGGUCUAGGCAUCUUAAUAUAUCUGCAGCACUAAAGCAACAACAUCGACUUCACAUUGAUCAGGUCCUUGAAGUGCCUCCCUCGUGGCGAAUACAAUUACAGGGCUGGGAUAGUGUUAGGGUUAGAAGAACCUUCUGGGGGGAGCCCAGGAAAUAUGGAUCAAUAUCCAGGAUCUGUGUGACACUGAAUUGAUGAAAAUGAUAUAUGGGUGUAUUUACUGGACAAAUCUAGGAAAUUUACAGCUAACUUCUUACAUUUGCAAGCUGAGUCUCAAUCUGAGUUGCUCUUCAAUAUGAGCUCCUAUUCACAAUUUAACUAAAUAUCUGAAAUCUUUGGAUUGAACAUGUAGCAAAAUCCUCCCAGUCAUUGGAAAAAAAAAAGGGCAACCUGGUGCAUGUAGCUCCCGCUUGCGCAGGGUCCAGGGAAGGGUCCGACCACUUUGGGUCUAUAGUACGCAGCCUUUCCCUACAUUUCUGUAAGAGGCUGUUUCCAGGACUUGAACCCAUGACCUCAUGGUCACAAGGCAGCAGCUUUACCACUGCGCCAAGGCUCCCCUUCCCUCCCAGUCAUUGGAAACAAGAAAAAAUACAUAUCUCAUCUAUUAUCAACACUUUAGGUUAUCUGGAGUGUUAAAAAGGGCAAACAAUAUCAAUACAUGUAGCAUUUUACAGUUUUCUCAAAACGGCUUAGAAUAGGUUUGAGCCAUCUUUUAUCGUUUUGAGGAAAUCAAGCCGUACCUAGCGUCAUAAAAAGGCAGUGGAAAUGCUGCAGAACAUAAAGGAACUUGUUGUAACUAACAUACCAACUGAUUGAUGUCAAUUAGUUAGUCCCUCAGAUUGCCAAUUUGCUUUUACUCUGCAUUUCUCUGCUUUAUUGGAGCUAUGAGAAGUUUAAAACUUGUUAUUAAUUUCAACCAUGAUAGCUCAAAGCAGAUUUGUGUUACAAGGAAAACCUGAACAAAACAAUACAAAUAAGUUCAUCUGAUUGUAAUAAUUUGAGAAAAUACAGCAGUCCAUAGCUUUGCUUUACAUAAGAGAAUCCCCUACUUACAAUCUAAUUGGCUACCUUGUCAGGAUUGUCUCGUUUCACCUAGGGCCUGAUACAUCUGAGGCUAGAGGUGGAGCUGAAGACCUCACAUUUCCAGCACUACCAAAAUUUGCUGAAUUCACAACAAAGUUAUGAUCUAUGUUGAUGUCUAUAUUCAUGGCACCUUCCAAUACUUUUACUACCUCAGACAUUUUAGGCCUUCUUUUGCAAUCAAUCUGCAAGCACCACAUUGCAAGCAUGAUCAUCUGAAUUACAUCUUGCUUGUGUGCUUGCAUGUCGGUGCUGUUAUUGUCAAUCAAAUCUACCAACCGAUCACUCUUCACCUUUUCCUCCAAUAGGGUAAUGAGAUGAAUGCUCUCCUCUGACCGGGAAGUGUCAAGGUUCUUUCUUCCACUCAUGAUUUCCAUGACCACAAUGCCAAAGCUAUAGACAUCUGCCUUUUCCGUGAUCUGUGAUGUCAACCAUUCAGGAGCUAAAUACCCAGGUGUGCCUCUCAUUCUAGUAACCACUUGGCUCAUAUCCCUGUCAAUGAGCUUGCAUAGUCCAAAAUCAGAAAGUUUAGCAUUGAAGUUGUCAUCUAAGAGGAUGUUGUGUGGUUUGACAUCCAAAUGAGCAAUUCGUUUUGUGCACUCCUCGUGAAGAUACGUGAGGCCCUUAGCUAUAUGAGUGAUAAUCUUGCACCGUGUGCUCCAAUGUAGAGGAGGAGCAUCAUUGUCAUGUCGACAAUAGAUCCAUCUGUCCAAGGAUCCUUUGGGCAUGUACUCAUAUACCAAGAGCCUAUGGGAUUUCUCUGCACAGAAGCCAAUCAAUCUCACCAGGUUAAUGUGAUGAAUGCUGCCAAUUGUCUGAACCUCUGCCGAAAAUUCUGUUUUGCCUUGACCAGAUCGAUCCAAACGUUUUACCGCAAUCCUUUCAUCAGCAAAUUGACCCUUGAAAACAGACCCAAAUCCUCCUUCCCCGAGCUUGUCUUUGAACUGCUCGGUUGCUGCUUUUAGCUGUUGAAAUGUGAACCUCAUUGGUGUUCCUUGUAGCUCCCCAAACUCUUCCUCUUGUUCCAUCCCAUGCUGCCAUUGUGUUCUUCGUUUACGUAUGAAGAAACUGACGAGGAACAAGAUGGUGAAGAAAAUGAAGCCACCUACCGGAGCUAGAAUUGCGACAACUCUUCUUACAGAGGGGGGGUUUGGUUUCAUGCUUGUUGGCCCAAUAGCUGCAGGCAGAGUACUUGGGGUCGGUGGUGUUACCUCGGCCGGGGGCGCGGGCAGGGGACUGUCAGCUGUAGGUGACAGUGCAUUAAUCUGGGGACUUUCAGCUGUAGGCGUCAGUGCUUGAUUAAUCUGGGGACUUUGAGUUGUAGGCGAUAGUGUGUGAUUAAUCAGGGGACAGAAAACGACCUGGUAGUUGGUCCCCGACGGGCAAUUGAAAGUUCUGGUGGAACCAUCGUCGGGGUAGCUGUAGGCAUCUGGGCACAUCCGCUUAAAGAAUUUCGAGUAAUUUGUGGGGCUGCUUAUUGUGCUUCCAUUCAAGCAGUAUAUGUCCUGCUUGAACACUGUGCACGCGUUGUUACAACCCCCCGGAGCCUUCAGGUCGCCUGGGCACUGCGAUGUGAUGUUGGCUGCGCAGCGCAGCCCCUUGCCGCACCCUGACCUUCCCCGAACCAGCACCGGCAGUAACUCCAUGGGCACAUUGAAGCCGUCGAGGAGGGAGAUGUCGAAGAAGUCAUUCGUUUGGUCUUGGCCAAGCGUGAAUUCGCCCAGCGUGUUGGGCGGUUGACCAUUCCCCUUACAAACGAGCAAGCCGCCGCAACCGCCAGUUUGGCAUGACCCUAUGCCUUCGCCAUGGAAUGAACAGUCUGUGCGUGCCCAGAUGCGCCCGCCCAUGGUGCCAGCGGGAACGUCCAGCAGCCACGUCUCCCCCGGAUCGAGCUUCACGCCACCUCCAACUGGAAUAGCGGCUGGCCACACGGUGUAGGAGCAUCGGUUGAUGAUACUGAAUAUGGUGGCCUCGCUGGUGGCAGCGAGGAGAAGGAGAGGUAGGAGACAGAGAGCCGAAGAGGUACUCGCCGGUGCCAUUUGUUGUUUUUUCUGCUUGCUCCCGUUAACUUGAAUCAGAGUCUGAGUUUCCUAGCGCUAUUGCAAACUUGAGUCAGAGUCUGAGUGACAGCUAACAGGAUGGAAGAGUGGUAGGGGAUUGCAAAGUUGAAUCAGAGUCAAAGUUGACCGCAUCUGUGUGUUGAAUAAUUCAAUGGUCAGCAUAAAAACAGCCUAACAUACUCUGUAGUGAUGACUGUUUGAUAGGACCAGACUUGCUUGUUUGCUUGUUUAGUCCCUUGCAAAUUGUACCUGUACUGAGUCUUACCCCAAAAAGAAGGAAUCUGUAUAUGAGCAUAAUGUAUUGUUUGAUUAAUUUUGUUUCCUAACAAAAUUCUUUAAGCUGAUGUAGACUGAGAUUUUGUUUUAUGUUUGCCUUUCGUGAAAUCGUUAGAUUGCACAUCUUAAUUUGUUCAUUUCUGAUCUGCUGUCAUGAUUUUUUUUUCGCUACAGUCAGACCCAGAAUCUUGAGUCAGCAACCAUCUUGGUGGUUGGGGGCAAGCUGAAGUUGACAGCGGAUGUCAGCUGCCUGGAAGCAGCUGGAGGUCUCCUUCACUACUCUCUGGUUUGCGUGCAAACGAGAGUGGCGAAAACCUUGUGAUCUUUGCGAAAAUCUCUGUUGAUUGGUAGCUUUCUUUUAACACAUUUUGUGGCGCCCGAUCCUAAGGUUGCAUGACUUGUUUGGUUGCGCUGUUGGUAGAAUUGAAUCUCGCAGCUGGUAUUAGCUGAUUGUAAUUCAAUUUCCGAGUACUGGUAUGUACUACUACUACCUUGUCUCUUACAAAUUAAUUGAAGUUCUAGUUCUGUUCAUUUUUUAGCCUGGUACUACUGUCAAGAGGGGAAAACCAUCAUGCAUGGUUUAUUUUGGAAUUAUUAGUAAACAGUAAGCAUUGCAUUAACCUUACCAUCCAUAGGACAGACGUCAGCUUGACCAAGAUUUGAUCUUCAAAGUACUCUCAAGC
rnacentral:lncRNA from 1 species